UACGUAGGGUCCGAGCGUUGUCCGGAAUUAUUGGGCGUAAAGAGCUCGUAGGCGGUUUGUCGCGUCUGCUGUGAAAUCUAGAGGCUCAACCUCGGGCCUGCAGUGGGUACGGGCAGACUAGAGUGCGGUAGGGGAGAUUGGAAUUCCUGGUGUAGCGGUGGAAUGCGCAGAUAUCAGGAGGAACACCGAUGGCGAAGGCAGAUCUCUGGGCCGUAACUGACGCUGAGGAGCGAAAGCAUGGGGAGCGAACAGG
rnacentral:rRNA from 1 species